AGAGUUUGAUCCUGGCUCAGAUUGAACGCUGGCGGCAGGCCUAACACAUGCAAGUCGAGCGGUAGAGAGAAGCUUGCUUCUCUUGAGAGCGGCGGACGGGUGAGUAAUACCUAGGAAUCUGCCUGGUAGUGGGGGAUAACGUUCGGAAACGGACGCUAAUACCGCAUACGUCCUACGGGAGAAAGCAGGGGACCUUCGGGCCUUGCGCUAUCAGAUGAGCCUAGGUCGGAUUAGCUAGUUGGUGAGGUAAUGGCUCACCAAGGCUACGAUCCGUAACUGGUCUGAGAGGAUGAUCAGUCACACUGGAACUGAGACACGGUCCAGACUCCUACGGGAGGCAGCAGUGGGGAAUAUUGGACAAUGGGCGAAAGCCUGAUCCAGCCAUGCCGCGUGUGUGAAGAAGGUCUUCGGAUUGUAAAGCACUUUAAGUUGGGAGGAAGGGCUGUUACCUAAUACGUGACUGUCUUGACGUUACCGACAGAAUAAGCACCGGCUAACUCUGUGCCAGCAGCCGCGGUAAUACAGAGGGUGCAAGCGUUAAUCGGAAUUACUGGGCGUAAAGCGCGCGUAGGUGGUUUGUUAAGUUGAAUGUGAAAUCCCCGGGCUCAACCUGGGAACUGCAUCCAAAACUGGCAAGCUAGAGUAUGGUAGAGGGUAGUGGAAUUUCCUGUGUAGCGGUGAAAUGCGUAGAUAUAGGAAGGAACACCAGUGGCGAAGGCGACUACCUGGGCUGAUACUGACACUGAGGUGCGAAAGCGUGGGGAGCAAACAGGAUUAGAUACCCUGGUAGUCCACGCCGUAAACGAU
rnacentral:rRNA from 1 species